rnacentral:misc_RNA from 1 species
AAGUCGUAACAAGGUUUCCGUAGGUGAACCUGCGGAAGGAUCAUUAUUGAAUACUCUCGAUGGGUUGUAGCUGGUUCUUCGGAGCAUGUGCACGCCUGUCUUGACUUUAUUCAUCCACCUGUGCACCUUUUGUAGUCUUGGGGGUUGAGAAGCAGUCAAACUAUCGGACGGCCACUGGCUGUUCUGGAUGUGAGGAAUGCUGAGUGCGUAAGCAUAUGCAGCUCUUCUCAAAGCGAUUUGCAAACCUCUCCUUCAAGUACUAUGUAUUCAUAUACCACAUAGUAUGUCGUAGAAUGUGAUCAUUGGGCCUAUGUGCCUAUAAUAAUUAUAUACAACUUUCAGCAACGGAUCUCUUGGCUCUC